rnacentral:misc_RNA from 1 species
GAGGGAGAGGCUUUGGAGGGAAGAUUUUUGGCGGGAGUGGAGGAAAAACCUUUGGUGAGAGCGGAGGAAAUACCUUUGGAGGUAGUGGAGGAAACACUUUAGGAGGGAACAGAUAUGGAUGGCCAAAGCUUUUCGAUGGAGGAAGUUUCCAUUUAGGCAGUGGUGGGAACUUAAAGUGAGGCCACAAGAAAGUUGAAGUGCAAGUUACAGGUGAAAAUUUCAGUUUUCCUGCAAGCCCAAAUGUGUGUUUUCCAUUGCUUUUGGACUUGAAAAUAAUCUUGGAAGACUCAAGACCGCUGUGAGCAGGGCAUGGUGUUGCUGAGGCACUGCGUAGUUGAGCAUAGCAUUCUUCCUUU